rnacentral:rRNA from 1 species
AUAUCAAUAAGCGGAGGAAGAGAAACCAACAGGGAUUGCCUCAGUAACGGCGAGUGAAGCGGCAACAGCUCAAAUUUGAAAGCUGGCUCCUUCGGGGCCCGCAUUGUAAUUUGUAGAGGAUGCUUCGGGCGCGGCGCCGGUCUAAGUUCUUUGGAACAAGACGUCAUAGAGGGUGAGAAUCCCGUAUGUGACUGGUUGCCUGUGCCCAUGUGAAGCUCCUUCGACGAGUCGAGUAGUUUGGGAAUGCUGCUCUAAAUGGGAGGUGUAUCUCUUCUAAAGCUAAAUAUUGGCCAGAGACCGAUAGCGCACAAGUAGAGUGAUCGAAAGAUGAAAAGCACUUUGGAAAGAGAGUUAAACAGUAC